rnacentral:tRNA from 2 species
UGGUGGUGUGUCCGAGCGGCCGAAGGUGCAUCACUCGAAAUGAUGUUUGGGGCAACCCAACGGGGGUUCAAAUCCCUCCACCACCGCCCA